GACAGAGGUGCCAAGCGUUAGGCGGAAUCACUGGGCUUAAAGCGUGUGUAGGCGGGUCGUUAAGGACCUUGUGAAAUCCCCCGGCUCAACCGGGGAACGGCUGGGUAUACUGGCGAUCUUGAGCCACCUAGGGGCAGUCGGAACAAGUGGUGGAGCGGUGAAAUGCGUAGAUAUCACUUGGAACGCCAAUGGUGAAAACAGACUGCUGGGGGUGUGCUGACGCUGAGACACGAAAGCCAGGGGAGCAAACGGG
rnacentral:rRNA from 1 species